rnacentral:rRNA from 1 species
UACGUAGGGAGCGAGCGUUGUCCGAAUUCACUGGGCGUAAAGCGCGCGUAGGCGGGCUUUUAAGUUGAGGGUGAAAUUCCGAGGCUCAACCUCGGAACUGCCUUCAAAACUGGAAGCCUUGAGGUUUGGAGAGGGAAGUGGAAUUCCAGGUGUAGCGGUGAAAUGCGUAGAUAUCUGGAGGAACACCUGUGGCGAAGGCGGCUUCCUGGCCAUAUCCUGACGCUGAGGUGCGAAAGCCAGGGGAG